AGCAGCCGCGGUAAUUCCAGCUCCAAUAGCGUAUAUUAAAGUUGUUGCAGUUAAAAAGCUCGUAGUUGAAUUUCGGGGUUAGUAGGUUGGUCAUGCCUCUGGUAUGUACUGGUCUCACUGAUUCCUCCUUCCUUAUGAACCGUAAUGCCAUUAAUUUGGUGUUGCGGGGAAUUUGGACUGUUACUUUGAAAAAAUUUAGAGUGUUUAAAGCAAGCUAACGCUUGAAUACAUUAGCAUGGAAUAAUGAAAUAGGACGUUCGAUCUUAUUUUGUUGGUUUCUAGGAUUGACGUAAUGAUUAAUAGGGAUAGUUGGGGGCAUUAGUAUUCAAUUGUCAGAGGUGAAAUUCUUGGAUUUAUUGAAGACUAACUACUGCGAAAGCAUUUGCCAAGGAUGUUUUCAUUAAUCAAGAACGAAAGUUAGGGGAUCGAAGACGAUCAGAUACCGUCGUAGUCUUAACCAUAAACUAUGCCGACUAGGGAUCGGAUGAUGUUAAUUUUUAUAAUGACUCAUUCGGCGCCU
rnacentral:rRNA from 1 species